rnacentral:lncRNA from 1 species
CAAAUACAUCAUUCUCCCUCCUCGUCUGUGUCAUAUUCGUUGCCUUUUCUUGAUUCCUUCUUAUCCAUAGCUUGGUAGAAUCGUUCCAUAAAUCUCGGGUCUUCAAACAAUCUUCGUUAAUAUCUUUUUGGCUACAUAAUGUGUAAGGGGAACCUUGUUGCCUUUAGGAGGUGAAGAUUGCAAAAACUCGAGAAGCUCAUCAAAUGAACGGUUAGUCCAUUUGUUCUUCGUCUCACAUAUGCAUAAGCUUUGAAAUAAAGUCAAGAGAUAUGAAGACAAUAAUUCUUUACUUUCUCCUUUUACAAAGAUUAUAAUUCUAUAAAUACGCCACCGGUCCUUCAUCUUAAAAACAAGUAAUUCUUUACUUUCUCCCUUUACAAAGAUUAUAAUUCUAUAAAUACGCCACCGGUCAUUCAUCAUU